CCUACGGGUGGCAGCAGUGGGGAAUAUUGCACAAUGGGCGCAAGCCUGAUGCAGCCAUGCCGCGUGUGUGAAGAAGGCCUUCGGGUUGUAAAGCACUUUCAGCGGGGAGGAAGGCGGUGAGGUUAAUAACCUCAUCGAUUGACGUUACCCGCAGAAGAAGCACCGGCUAACUCCGUGCCAGCAGCCGCGGUAAUACGGAGGGUGCAAGCGUUAAUCGGAAUUACUGGGCGUACAGCGCACGCAGGCGGUCUGUCAAGUCGGAUGUGAAAUCCCCGGGCUCAACCUGGGAACUGCAUUCGAAACUGGCAGGCUAGAGUCUUGUAGAGGGGGGUAGAAUUCCAGGUGUAGCGGUGAAAUGCGUAGAGAUCUGGAGGAAUACCGGUGGCGAAGGCGGCCCCCUGGACAAAGACUGACGCUCAGGUGCGAAAGCGUGGGGAGCAAACAGGAUUUGAUACCCGGGUAGUC
rnacentral:rRNA from 1 species